UAUUUUCUCUCUUUCACAUCAUUUCACCCUUCCAUUUUCACCCUUCAUUUUUCCUCUUUUGUUUUACGCAUUAUGCUUCCAUGUCGCCAGCAUCAACGCUGUCAUGCCUCACGUUUGAAAUGUCUUCAUCUCCUUUCUGUUUUUACGUCUUCUUCCAACUUUUCAUCUUUCAAUGCAGCAAGCUACGAUGCCAACACAUUAAAAACCUAAACUUCUAUCCAAGUUUGCCCUAAUUUCCUUCAUCUUUUGUGAACUUUCAUCUAUAGCGCCAACAAGUUGGAGAUAUGUUUAAGGUGAUAUCAUAGAUAUUCAAUAAGAUGAGGGAAAAGAGGAAGAUUCUUGAUCUUACUAGCACACUCGAAUGUAUCGAGAAGAACUUUGUCAUUACUAAUCCAAAGCUUCUUGAUAACCCCAUUGUAAGAAAUUUAUAUAUAUUCUUUUUUAUAGUGUCAUCGUUUGUGUUUCUUUUGCAUCAAAGUUGUUUGGAGAUUGAUUGUUAAUUUGUGUAAUAUUGUAACUAAAGAUGACAUA